rnacentral:tRNA from 1 species
GGAUAUAGCUAAGUGGUAGAGCUCAUGCUUAACAUGCAUGAGGUCCUAGGUUCCAUCCCCAGUACAUUCA